UCCCCCGUAGUGUAACGGUAGCACAACAGAUUCUGGUUCUGUUUGUCGAGGUUCGAAUCCUCGCGGGGGAU
rnacentral:tRNA from 1 species